CCGAGUUUACAACUCCCAAACCCUUAUGUGAACCGUACCCAUCGUUGCUUCGGCGGGCCGCCCCGGUGCCCUGCGCCCGGACCCAGGCGCCCGCCGGAGACCCAAACUCUUGUUUUUAUUCGCAGUAUUCUCUGAGUGGUAAAACAAAUACAUCA
rnacentral:misc_RNA from 1 species